UUUAAAAAAAAAAAAAAAUUUAUUUUCAAGUACAUGAUAGAAAAGUUGACCAUGGAACAUUGGAACUCUUUGUUUGUAGAAGUUUAAGAAAUGUGAAGUCAUAGAAAUAGAUCUGUACAUUUCGAAAUCUCAUAGAAAAAACAUCAUCAUCAAAAAAGAAGGGAAAAAAAAACAAUAGAACUAAACAAUAACAUAGCAACAAGCCGACACAACGUAGGCAUGAGAAACAUCUGGUUUAACAAUCUUUAUUCAAAGCACUUUAGUUUAUGGGAAAAAGGUAAAUGGGCCCUUGCCACGGUAUAUUUGCUCCAUACAUGUAGAGACAGACAUUGGUUUUAAGACAUAUAAAUUGUAUAGACAGACAAAUGUCUGACUGGAUGAAAGCAUUGGUAAGAAAUAUAGACAUGAAAUACAUUUGUUUCAUAGUCAAAACACGUUAUAACAAAGUAAUGUCUGUCGGCUUUAUCUAGUUCAGUUUAUACAACAUCAACAUGUAUGUAACUUAGCUAAAAACAGGGCCGGAUCUAUGAUUGUACAACAGUGCAGCCGCUAAUGGCCUCUUUCUCAAAAGGGGUUCUUCACAAACUUUUAGAAAAAAUAAAGUUAAACAAGUAUGAAUACUAAUUAGAAGAAAACAGAAGGCGAAUGAGAUUAAAUUGAAAAGGCCUCUAAUGUGUCAACACCCUAGCGUUAAUUAAGCCUUUUUUAGUGAGUAAAGGCCUCUACAAAAAUGUUUCCCACGGCGCCAACUUACUUAAAUCCGGCUCUGGUCAAAAAGAACUUCAAAAAAAAAAAAAAAAAAAAAAAAAG